AAACUAGUGUCGUAAUCUUGUAUUCUAUCAUUCUUGUUUCGAAGUUACGGUAUUUAAAAUUCCUUUGUACUCCUAUAAAUACCGGAGUUCAUGUAUGUACAACUCUCUUCUCUGAUUGUAACUCAGUGCUGAUGGUACUCACCUUAAUAAAGCAUUGAGAACUCUACCCGCUGCGUAUCACAUUCUGGAUAUCGACCAUCACUAGUUCAUUAUGGAAGCUGACGGUGAUUGAGUUAAAUCUGUUAUAGUUGUGAAAGAAUUUGUAAAUUUCUAAAACUUAUAAAAGCAGUCAAUAUAUAUGUAAAAAUAACAAUGGCUCGUACUAAGCAGACUGCGCUUAAAUCUAUCGGCGAAAAAGCACCACGCAAGCAACUUGCCACAAAGGCAGCUCGUAAAUCCGCCUCCUCAACCGGCGGCAUAAAGAAACCUCACCGUCAUCGCUCGGGUACUUGUCUUCCUGAAGAACAUAAAGUCCAUUCGGUAAAUUUAACCAUGAAUGAAAUUAUUCAACAAAGAAGUUCCAUUAAAUUUUGUGUGCUGAAUCAAAUUUCUGCUGCCGAAACGUUCAGAAUGUUAAAUAGGGCCUUCGGUGAUAACUCUUUGUCUCGAGCAAGUGUUUUUGAUUGGUACAAACUAUUCAAAGAGGGUCGAGAACGCGUUGACGACGAACCACGUCCAGGAC